rfam:Fusarium verticillioides 7600 chromosome 2, whole genome shotgun sequence.
UAUUGAACAACGCAAAAAACCACGUUCAUGUUUCUCUAAUAAUUGAUGCGAGGUGCGUCGAAAGGCCUGCGCCCAGGACCAUCGAUUCAGAGGAACUCAGAAUGGAGAGAAAAGCGAACAAUCUUGGGUGCGGUGCUUCCCUCGACGAUGGGGAGGAGCGCAAUGAUUGAACGUACAU